CAGUCGCCACGGUAAUACGUAGGGUGCAAGCGUUAAUCGGAAUUACUUGGCGUAAAGCGUGCGCAGGCGGUUAUAUAAGACAGAUGUGAAAUCCCCGGGCUCAACCUGGGAACUGCAUUUGUGACUGUAUAGCUAGAGUACGGCAGAGGGGGAUGGAAUUCCGCGUGUAGCAGUGAAAUGCGUAGAUAUGCGGAGGAACACCGAUGGCGAAGGCAAUCCCCUGGGCCUGUACUGACGCUCAUGCACGAAAGCGUGGGGAGCAAACAGGAUUAGAUACCCCGGUAGUCCCUGUCUCUUAUAC
rnacentral:rRNA from 1 species